UCACCUCUCUAAUUUAAAAUGCAUGAAAAUUAAUACUUUGUUUUUGUUUUUUUUUUGGAAACAGUCUCACUCUGUCACCCAGGCUGGAGGGCACAAUCUCUGCUCACUGCAACCUCCACCUCCUGGGCUCAAGCCUCAAGCAAUUCUCCUGCCUCAGCCUCCCAAGUAGCUGGGAUUACAGGAACCCACCACCACGCCCAGCUAAUUUUUGUAUUUUUAGUAGAUGGGGUUUCAUCAUGUUGGCCAGGCUGGUUUUGAACUCCUGACUUCAAAUGAUCCACCCACAUCCACCUGCCAGAGUGCUGAGAUUACAGGCGUGAGCCACCGCACCUGGCCAAUGUUCUUUUAUAUACUCAUGUUUUCUAACAAAACAGCUUUGGAUUUAUAAUGCUGCCAGAUGUCAUUACAAUUUUUUUUCUAAAUUCAAAGGUAAUUAUUCUAAACAAUAAAAGGGCACCUGGAAUUUUCAGAACAUUAAAAAACUGAAACCACUUAGAAGAAAAGAAGAAACCUAAAUGUCUGUGGAAGUGAUCAGUAUUAAGUGGGUGAUGGCUCUUUCAUCUUCCUUAUCCCUAAAGAUACUUCCAACAUAUUGUUAGAGUAAGUAUUAAAAGAAAAAGUAGGUUUGCUGAAAAACAUUACUAAAUGACUUGGAGCUCUCCAGUCAAAGAAACAAAGCUAAUUGAAAUAAUGUACAUUUGGUUCAGUCUGUCAGGCAAGUACAAAUCCAUAACAAAAAAAAUUAAUAGUAUGCUCUUUGCUUUGGAAUCUCUAAUUUACGGUCAUGCCCUAAGUCACAGGAUGAUUAUUAGGGAAAUGUCAUUGACACCUGAAAAUUACCUAUCCUGUAAAAAGACUGGUGAAAUUCAACAUGUUUUAAAUAAUUUAAUUGCAUUAUAGCAUAUAAACUAUAAAUGAAAAUGAUCUUUGUCUUUCCUUUAUCUUGCUUUAUCCUCUUAUCCAAUUCUAGACUCUUAAAUAAUCACUGUAUUUUUCUCAAGUAUUUGUUAUUUUUUAUUAUCCUUUAGAUCUUUUUGUUCAUGGCUCUUUAAAAAUAGUUUUACUGAUAAUCCAAUCACUUGGAUAGUUAAUUUUAUUACUUUUUGUUUCCUUUUUAAUAUUUAUUCUUCCCGUUAAGGGUUUUUUGGCUAUAAAUUCGUACUUGAUAAGCUAUGUUAUUUCUUUGUGUAAUUUAAUAGUAGCAUUCUGGAGUAGAUUCUUUUUUUGUAUUCUGGCCUUGGAAUACUUUAAUUCCGGACCAAAAGAGGUCAAUUUUGUGAGUAUUGCCUAUUAAGUAAACAACAUCCCUCAUUUUUAAUCCAAAUAUCAAUUUGACAGAAUAACAAGGGUCAGAAAUUCAAAAUAGCUGUUAGACACCUUUGAUUCUUUGCUGCUCUCUGGUUAUGUAUGUGUGUUGUGCAUCUUCCUUGUUGUUUUAGAGUUUCCUAAAUUUUUUGCUUCUGGGGACUUGAGUAUUUUUAAAUGUUCUUAAAAUUAUAUGAAUCUACCCAGAAUGUAGAUGUCAAAAUGUAAUUAGAGGCCCCGUGCAGUGGCUCACGCCUGUAAUCCCAGCACUUUGGGAGGCCGAGGCAGGUGGAUCGCCUGAGCUCAGGAGUUCAAGACCAGCCUGGGCAACAUGGCAAAACCCCGUCUCUACUAAAAAUACAAAAAAUUAGCUGGGUGUGGUGGUGUGUGCCUGUAGUCCCAGCUACUCGGGAGGCUGAGGCAGGAGAAUCGCUUGAACCCUGGCGAAACCCCAUUUCUAAAAUAGAAAAAUUUAGCCGGGUGUGGUGGUGUGUGCCUAUAGUCCCAGCUAUUCGGGAGGCUGAGGCAAGAGAAUUGCUUGAACCCGGGAGGUGGAGGUCGCAGUGAGCUGAGAUCCUGCCACUGCACUCCAACCUGGGGGUAACAGAGCGAGACUCUGUCUCAAAAAAAAAAAAAAGUGUAAUUAGAAAUGGAAAUCUAGGUAAAGGAAGCUUUAAAAUGUUGUAUUUUUUCCCUGAAAUAAACUUUUAUGAUUUAAUGUCUUGGAAAAAGACUCACAUGAAAAGUGGCUUUUAUAUUUGGUAGGAUAAAGCCAUUGUCCUUUAAUACCAUAGCAAAUAGAAGCAAUUUUUAAUGAGGUUACUGAAUUGUUUAGUAUUCCUAAUAUGGCAUCCAGGUCAUCUUUUCUUUUCUCCAACCAUUAUUAAAAUAACUUGACACUUUGGGAGGCCAAGCUGGGCAGAUCACCUGAGGUCAGGAGUUUGAGACCAGCCUGGCCAACAUGGUGAAACCCCAUCUCUACUAAAAAAAAUACAAAAAUUAGCGGGGCCAUGGUGACGUGCACCUGUAAUCCCAGCUACUCGGGAGGCUGAGGUGGGAGAAUAGCUUGAACCUGGGAGGCAGAGGUUGUGGUGAGCCAAGAUCACGCCACUGCACUCCAGCCUGGGUGACAGAGCAAGACUCCAUCUCAAGAAAAAAAUAAAUAAAUAAUAAUUUGUGUAUGUGAUGACUGACUCUAGUCAUUAUGGAAAAUAACUUUUGGCAGUUUAGUUCCUAAUGUUAACAAUUCCUCUUUUUAAGAGAGGUACUACAUUUGAUUUCUCAAUUUCUCAGUUUGUUUUCAAUACAAACAGCAACCACUGAAAUGCAGAAAAUGGUAAUCAAGUGUGAUGUUUCUAUAAAAAUAAUUGAGAUUCACAUGUAAUAGACCCUUUAGCUUUAAUGAGCAGACAUGAGAAUGGUUUAUGAUCUUAAGUUGGUAACAUAGGAAUAUGUAUUUGUCAAUUUUAGUUCACAAACAUAUCCAUAAGAAUGUUUACACAUGGCAGUAUCAAAGCAUAUAAAAUAUUUUCUAUGUAAGUAAAUUGCAUCUUUAUGCUAGUGAACAAAGUAGCAAUAAAUGUUCAUUUUUGGAUGGCAGUACACAUUGUUAACAAUCGUGUAAUUAUAAUAAAUAUGUCUACCUACUCCUUGAACC
rnacentral:lncRNA from 1 species